AUGGUGCUUGCGGCCCAAAAAAACGAUCUUAUCAAAGGGUUAGCUGCUGAUCUUAUUGAGGAUGGGGUUUGCAUCCUGCAAUAUGCUGAUGAUACGGUGCUUUGUUUCGAACAUGAUAUAGACAAAGCCAUCAACGUCAAACUUUUGCUCUAUCUUUUUGAGAUUAUGUCAGGAUUAAAAAUCAAUUUUGAGAAGAGUGAGAUCUUUAGUAUUGGAGGUGACAAUGAUAUUGAUCUAGCUUAUGCUGACAUGUUUGGAUGCCAAGUGGGCUCCUUACCUAUGAAAUAUCUUGGAGUCCCAAUUACAUACUCCACUCUCAAGAAUGCGGAUUUAGACUUCCUUGAUGGAAAAAUGGUCAAAAAGCUUGAUGCCUGGGUCGCCUAUGCGGCUUCCUUCGGGGCCAGGCUCACUUUGUUGGGUUCCAGCCUAGAUGGGAUUCUCUCGUACCACAUGUCGAUGUUCCUCUUCAAUAAAACAUUUAUUGAGAGGAUGGAUAAACACCGUAGACGUUUCUUUUGGAGGAAGAAAAACAAGAAACAUGGAUACCAUAUGGUUAAGUGGACAAGAAUAUGUCGUUCUAAGAAGAUUGGGGGUCUGGGUAUCAAAGAUCUUCAUAAGCAGAAUAUUGCCCUACUCGUUAAAUGGUGGUGGAAACUAGAAACGAGUGAUGGGUUAUGGCAGCGUAUAGUAAGGGCUAGAUAUUUCAAAAAUAAGACUGUAGCUAAUAUUCGGAGUCGUUUCUCUGAUUCUCCUUGCUGGAAGGCUAUCAUGAAAGUCAAAGAGUCGUAUAUGGCUGGCCGAAAAAUCAUUAUCGAAAGUGGAAACCUGACUAGAAUCUGGUACGAUCCUUGGGUUGAGAAUAUCACAUUGAAAGAUCAUUUCCCUGAUCUGUUUAGUAUCUGUCAAGACCAGGAGUGCACUGUUGCAUCCUGGGUUGCGAAUAACUAUGAACUAGGCUUUAGACGCAGACUGGUUGGCAUGUUGGGUGAGCAGUGGGCUUGGAUUGUAAUGGAAGCAAAAAAGUUGUUGCUGAAUGAUUCUCCAGAUAAAUUGCAUGGGCUCUUAGUAGUAAAGGCAUAUUUACUACUAAAUCUAUCUAUGAAUGGUUGGAAAGAAACUUAUCAGGCCCCAACUAUAAAAUGGUGUGGAAAGCACCUAUUCCGUUGA
rnacentral:rRNA from 1 species